rnacentral:rRNA from 1 species
AUUGAACGCUGGCGGCAGGCCUAACACAUGCAAGUCGAGCGGUUGACGGGAGCUUGCUCCCUGAUUCAGCGGCGGACGGGUGAGUAAUGCCUAGGAAUCUGCCUAUUAGCGGGGGACAACGUUUCGAAAGGAACGCUAAUACCGCAUACGUCCUACGGGAGAAAGCAGGGGACCUUCGGGCCUUGCGCUAAUAGAUGAGCCUAGGUCGGAUUAGCUUGUUGGUGAGGUAAUGGCUCACCAAGGCGACGAUCCGUAACUGGUCUGAGAGGAUGAUCAGUCACACUGGAACUGAGACACGGUCCAGACUCCUACGGGAGGCAGCAGUGGGGAAUAUUGGACAAUGGGCGAAAGCCUGAUCCAGCCAUGCCGCGUGUGUGAAGAAGGUCUUCGGAUUGUAAAGCACUUUAAGUUGGGAGGAAGGGUUGUAGAUUAAUACUCUGCAAUUUUGACGUUACCGACAGAAUAAGCACCGGCUAACUCUGUGCCAGCAGCCGCAGUAAAAC